rnacentral:rRNA from 1 species
GACGAACGCUGGCGGCGUGCCUAAUACAUGCAAGUCGAGCGGAUCUUCAUUAGCUUGCUUCUGAAGAUCAGCGGCGGACGGGUGAGUAACACGUGGGCAACCUGCCUGUAAGACUGGGAUAACUUCGGGAAACCGGAGCUAAUACCGGAUAAUCCUUUUCCUCUCAUGAGGAGAAGCUGAAAGACGGUUUCGGCUGUCACUUACAGAUGGGCCCGGGGCGCAUUAGUGAGUUGGUGAGGUAACGGCUCACCAAGGCAACGAUCAGUAUCCGGCCUGAGAGGGCGGGCGGACACACUGGGACUGAGACACGGCCCAGACUCCUACGGGAGGCAGCAGUGGGGAAUUGUUCGCAAUGGGCGCAAGCCUGACGACGCAACGCCGCGUGGAGGAUGAAGAUCUUCGGGUCGUAAACUCCUUUCGAUCGAGACGAACGGCCUCCGGGUAAACAAUCCGGGGGAGUGACGGUACCGAGAGAAGAAGCCCCGGCUAACUCCGUGCCAGCCGCCGCCGUAAGAC